rnacentral:rRNA from 1 species
UCCGAAGGGGGCUAGCGUUGCUCGGAAUCACUGGGCGUAAAGCGCACGUAGGCGGACUCUUAAGUCGGUGGUGAAAUCCUGGAGCUCAACUCCAGAACUGCCUUCGAUACUGAGAGUCUCGAGUCCGGGAGAGGUGAGUGGAACUGCGAGUGUAGAGGUGAAAUUCGUAGAUAUUCGCAAGAACACCAGUGGCGAAGGCGGCUCACUGGCCCGGUACUGACGCUGAGGUGCGAAAGCGUGGGGAGCAAACAGG